UACGUAGGUGGCUAGCGUUACUCGGAAUUACUAGGUGUAAAGGGCAGGUAGGUGGUUUGGUAAGUUGAAGGUGAAAGCCCCGAUAAAAUCGGGGAGGUCCUUCAAUACUGCUGAACUUGAGUACGGUAGGGGGAACCAGAAUUCCUGGUGUAGCGGUGAAAUGCGUAGAUAUCAGGAGGAAUACCGAUGGCGAAAGCGGGUUCCUGGGCCGUCACUGACACUGAGCUGCGAAAGCGUGGGGAGCA
rnacentral:rRNA from 1 species